rnacentral:rRNA from 1 species
UUAAUGGAGAGUUUGAUCUUGGCUCAGGACGAACGCUGGCGGCGUGCCUAAUACAUGCAAGUCGAGCGCGUGAAACUUUUCAGAUCUCUUCGGAGUGACGAAUUGUGGAUCGAGCGGCGGACGGGUGAGUAACACGUGGGCAACCUGCCUGUAAGAUCGGGAUAACUUGCGGAAACGUGAGCUAAUACCGGAUAAUGUCUUUUACCUCCUGGUAAAAGAAUGAAAGACGGUUUUGCUGUCACUUACAGAUGGGCCCGCGGCGCAUUAGCUAGUUGGUGGGGUAAUGGCCUACCAAGGCGACGAUGCGUAGCCGACCUGAGAGGGUGAUC